GCAGUGCGCUGAAGGCAUGCAGUCGAUGGGUUUAGACCCAUGGCAGACGAGGUAGUAACACGUAGGUACAUCCCCCAAAGUCGAGCAUAACCGGCCGAAAGGUCGGAUAAUUCUCGAUGGUCCCGCAAGGGUAAAGAUUUAUCGCUUUGGGAGUGGCCUGCGUCGUAUCAGCUUGUUGGUGAGGUAAUGGCUCACCAAGGCUAUGACGCGUAGGGGAGGUGAGAGCCUGACCCCCACCGAUGGAACUGAGACACGGUCCAUACUCCUACGGGAGGCUGCAGCCGAGAAUAUUCCGCAAUGGGCGAAAGCCUGACGGAGCGACGCCGCGUGAAGGACGAAGGCCCUCGGGUCGUAAACUUCUUUUAUGAGGGAGGAAAUUUUGACGUUACCUCAUGAAUAAGAGGCUCCUAAUUCCGUGCCAGCAGGAGCGGUCAUACGGAUGCCUCGAGCGUUACCCGGAAUCACUGGGCGUAAAGGGUGUGUAGGCGGUUGUAUUAGUCUCCUGUUAAAGACCGGGGCUUAACCUCGGAAGUGCGGGGGAAACGGUACAACUUGAGGGUGAGAGAGGUGUAUGGAACUCACGGUGUAGGGGUGAAAUCCGUUGAUAUCGUGGGGAACACCAAAUGCGAAGGCAGUACACUGGCUCACUCCUGACGCUGAGACACGAAAGCGUGGGUAGCGAAUGGGAUUAGAUACCCCAGUAGUCCACGCCCUAAACGAUCCUAACUGGCUUUGAGGAGUAUCGACCCUCUUCGAGGCGAAGCAAACGCGUUAAGUUAGGCGCCUGGGUAGUACGAGCGCAAGCUUAAAACUCAAAGGAAUUGACGG
rnacentral:rRNA from 1 species